rnacentral:rRNA from 1 species
GAUGAACGCUGGCGGCGUGCCUAAUACAUGCAAGUCGAGCGAACAGACGAGGAGCUUGCUCCUCUGACGUUAGCGGCGGACGGGUGAGUAACACGUGGAUAACCUACCUAUAAGACUGGGAUAAUUUCGGGAAACCGGAGCUAAUACCGGAUAAUAUAUUGAACCGCAUUGUUCAAUAGUGAAAGACGGUUUUGCUGUCACUUAUAGAUGGAUCCGCGCCGCAUUAGCUAGUUGGUAAGGUAACGGCUUACCAAGGCUACGAUGCGUAGCCGACCUGAGAGGGUGGUCGGCCACACUGGAACUGAGACACGGUCCAGACUCCUACGGGAGGCAGCAGUAGGGAAUCUUCCGCAAUGGGCGAAAGCCUGACGGAGCAACGCCGCGUGAGUGAUGAAGGUCUUCGGAUCGUAAAACUCUGUUAUUAGGGAAGAACAAAUGUGUAAGUAACUAUGCACGUCUUGACGGUACCUAAUCAGAAAGCCACGGCUAACUACGUG